UCUGCUGGCUUAGCAGAUGAUGUUUGUAAAUGUAUGGAAAACACCCUAGCUCAAAAUGCAUUUAUAUUUUCAGGUAGAGGUGGUACUGUUAGCAUGAAGAGUGAAUGUAGAUAUGUAGAGGACCACAGAGAGAGUUCCAUUAUCAACCAGCCAAUUGACAAAUUGUGACAUGAAUGCUUCUUUUAGUGUUCAUAGUCUUAUCUAUUCAUAAUAUUCUUGCAGAACGGACAGUCAACAUGGAUUGACUGCUAUGCUAUCAUAUUUUGAAAGCAGAAAGGGCUAUCAACCCAUUACCCUAAGAUGAUUGUAUUCUGUAUUUCUGGUUUGUACAGCUUGAAGGCAGUCUCAGAAACAUGCACCUCUACUGAAAUCAGUAUCUAAAAGUGUGAAAAGUGUAAUUGGCUGAUUUCCUCACUCAAGAUGGUGUGUGUACCUCGAUUUAGCAGAAUUGGGUGGUGAGAAUAUCAGCGAUGACAUGGGGACCCUCUGGUGAGUAGUCAUUGUUAUGGAUAUGUGACCCUGCAAAGCGAAACCAGUCGUUUUGGUAAAAAUUACAAAAUUAAGAUAUUGUGCUCAUGUGAACGGCCAUAAACUAAGCUUUCCAAUGACAUGUAUAUCGAGGGUAUUACACAAACUAUCGCUAAGCUAACCGCAUCCAAAGUUGACAUGGUUCUCCUGCCAUAAUAUGCCAGAAGAGGAGAAAUCACCUUUUUGAGCAGCGCGUGGACAACUGGAAUGACUGCAAAUGUGUUGAAUCUUCGCAAGACACAUGUUUUUCCGUGAAAUUAGUUCACGAUAUGAAACUGUAGACUCUAUACUGUCGAAUUAUGCGAAAACGUGAAAUUCAUCAUUUCAACCCGGAAGUUUGUUUAUUGUGGAUUUUCUCAAAACAACGUUGUGUGCAAAGCGACUGAUUUCGCUUUGAAUGGUGACAUAUGUCAUGGAAGUUAUAUUUCUGUUGUUUUGUUACAUUGUCUGUAACAUUUAUUACAUAAGUGAUAAUGAUGUUGAGAGAGAGAGAGAGAGAGAGAGAGAGAGAGAGAGAGAGAGAGGCAUUUGGUUUAUUCUCUCCAAAUGCCUGUGUAGUUAAAUCUGUGAACUUUAUUAUUACGACCGUAUUUCCGUCAAGGAUUUACAGGACACUGAAAGACCAGGGUGCAUGAAACUCGGUGGGCAUGUAAGCCCACAAGGAUGACACAGAACCAUUGUUUUUCAUUUUGAUCUGUCCCCCCAACACUCAUUUGAGGUACAGUGCCACUUUAAAAAUUAUACGGGAAAAACAAGGCACUGUAAUCACAGGUAUCUUUGGCUGACAGGUUCAAAACUGCCGGAAAUUUGAAGUGUAGGAUUAUGACACCAUCUGAAUGCAUGCCAAAUUUUAGGGAAUUCCGUUCAUGGGAGGCCAUAACACACACACACACACACACACACACACACACACACACACACACACACACACACAGUACACAAUUUGUCUUAAAUCUUACAUCUCAUUUUGAAUUAAGGCAAAUUUUCUUAAUCCAUUUGCAGAUAAAUUGUCUUAAAGGGAUAUUCCGCCUAAGAUGACUAAGAUUUCCGGUAAUUUUCCUAUUUAAAACUUGUCUCUUCUCAAGUAAGAAAGUGCAAUAAACCAACUGAAAAAGGCUGAUUUGACAUGGAACUAUACUCUCAUCAGGCGUAAUAAUCAAGGGAAGUUGCAAACAUACCAUGGGCGCAGUGAUAUCAUGCACUACUACUGCUUGUUGCCUAUGGGGACUAUUUUCAGAUAUCACUACGCCCAUGGUACGUUUGCAACUGGUACGUUUGAGAGUGUAGUUCAGCUUAAUGUCAAAUCAGCUUAGAAAAACGGCAGGUUUCAUUUUCAGUUGGUCUUAUUGCACUUUCUAACUUGAGAAGAGACACGUUUUAAAUGGGAAAUUAUCGGAAAUCUUAGUCACUUUUAAGCAUGAUGCUAGCAGGCGAGAUGCUAAUGGUCUAAUCCGAUUCAAUGAUCUAUGCUAGGCUGAAGCUAAAAGUUGUAUCGCCAGACUCACAGAAUGGCUGGAUGAAUGGGAAAAAUGUAAAUAUUGAUUGUUUUGCUCGAGGGGAGGUGGAAAAUUAGCUUAUUUCCAGAAAUGGCGGAAUAUCCCUUUAAUUUAAGAACAUUGUGACUUAUUUUAAGUCAAAUAAUCUUACAAGAAAGCUUGGUAAGGUAUCACUUUUUGCAGUGUAGGUAAAACAGAUUGUUUUAAUGUUUUAUACACCAACAGAACCCUUGACCUUGAGAAAGGGAGAUCUGUGAAAAAUGGCUGGAUUUCUCCUCCAUGCAUUUCUCUGAAUGUCUUGUUUUAUUUCUUUUAGUUUAUCUUUGGAUUCAUUAUUGAUCAUUUUGAUACAUUUUGCAUCAUGCAUAAUGGAAUUCACAGCCUUGUUUGUUUGUUUUUUUUACAAAUGUGGUAGCGGUAAUGUUGCCACCUGACAAUUGAUUGGCCUGAGGUCGAAACCGUAUCACUUUAGAUAAAAACACUGGCUAAAAACCAGGCAGAUGUAUAGAUGUCGGCCAGGGGUUGCCAGGGUUUUUUUUAUCUUUACUUUGCUAAAUUGUAAUGAAGGAUAUGCUUUUGAUAUUAUUUUAAUAUUUUUUUUAUUUCGUUUAUUAUUAUUAUUGUUAUUAUUAUUAUUAUUAUUUAGAUAUCUCAGCUGACCCCAUUUGGAUUUCAGGUGACUACAUAAACAAGAUUGGGAAACUAUGAUGUAGGCCUAUAUGACUGUAUUACUACAGUUUUUAAUAUAGGUACAAUAUUAUAUAGGUAUGGUAUAGGUACAAUAUAGCACAUUAUCUGGGUGCAUCCGAAAGUUUUUAGAUGUUUACAUUAGGCUAAAUCUUUGAAACAUGCUUCUAGUCUAGACCAGGCUAAGCGUGAGCUUGUAGCCAUCUGCAUUCGAUAGGCUAUAUUCACCAGACCCAUGAUGCAACUGUGUUCUGUUCCCUGGGCAUAUGCUUGCCUAUCUCUGUAUAUUAUCUGCAGCGUUAGGACCUCCUCUCCGAUGAAAUUGCUAGUCUGCGGGGCAGCGAAGUUAUAGGCUAUGCCCUUCUGUCACACGUCUGAUAAAUUAGGCUACGGCACAAAUUAAUGGUUGACUGUAAUCCAACUGGUGGCCAAAAGAAAAGGAAACUAAACGUUUUCCUAAUUAGAAAAUAUUUCCUAAUUGUGUGUGGUCAAAUAAAGAGGCAUAGCCUGCAAUCAGGGUAGUAAUGUAUGUCUUUUGUCUUUGUUUUCUUUUAUCAAGUUUGUCAUUUCUUUUAUUGUUCAUUAGCUUGACUGUCCUUUGUUAUGAUUUUGUAGGCCUACUCUAACCCUUAAGCCUUCUUUUUUUGCUAUGACUUGUUGUGCUGAAGUGUUGAACUGAACCUUGCCCUCAUCCCCUGUGUCCUGAUGGCUAAGCUGAGUGUGUUUUCUCUUACUGCUUUCACACAUUUAUCAAUACUGGUAAGACAAAAUCUUGCGUCUACAUUCUGAGGUGAAAGCGGCUAAAAGUGCUGUAGUGCAUAUGCCUGGCCAGUUCAUGGCGCUGUGAUGGUGCAGAGCUAUACUGUAGAUAUAGGUUGUGGAGGCUUCAUAUUGUUUAAUGUUGAGUUGGGGGGGUUGGGCUAUGCCGUCAUAAUAUUGCCGGCUCAGCGUCUACAUCGGUUAACAUUGGUUACAAUGACUACUAGAGGUGACAUUGGCCUGUCACCUCUUGUAGUGAAUAAUAGUGUUUCACCUGUUCUUUCGUUCUUUUUUACAGUUACCCAUUCCUUUCUUUUCUCUUCUGCCAGUGAAUUCAAUAAAUUAUUCUAUUUUGUUGGACAUGUCUCUGUUUUUCCUUUAUUCUACUACCAAUAUGUGUUUGCUACUAAGCUGAGUUAAUACUGAGGGCCAGAUGUAGCCUACUAACGUUUUGCGCCCAUUUCAGGCGUAACGUGCGCGUAUAAACAUGGGGAGGAUAUGUACAAACAGGCUGCAAUGAGAGAAACACGCAGACUGCCUGCCGUGGGAGCUGAGAAUGGCUAUUUGCGCUUUUCUGUGUCAUACAUAUUAAUUCCUGGGCGGAUCAGCUGUAAAUGGGUGUAACGUGCAAGUACAGGGGAGGAGAGGUGCUAAUAGCGAUUGAUUAAGUAUUCCACCAUAUGUAUGAAAACAGCGCACGUCUAUUUUGCGUUGAAAAACGUCCGCCUUCUGAAAGCAGGUGUAAUCCAAAUUGCGGUUAAAUGUGUCUAUUAGAAAAACGUCUAGAGACAGCUGAAUCAAUAUUCAGAGCAUCAGUUUUCACUAUGUCAAAAGCAACCUUAUUUUGUUUGCCUCUCUAAAAUCGUAUUUUCUCUUUCACGACAUAGCCUACACUACCCAAUCUGUUAGACAGGCAUUAAGUCAUAUCCUUAGUCUACCUGCAGUAAAUAGUUCAAAGUAUUUUUUUAAGUGGAUUAGUAGAACUACUAGGCCUACUCUGUCUGUCGCUGCUUGUUGACAUCUAU